GUGGGGAAUAUUGGACAAUGGGCGCAAGCCUGAUCCAGCCAUACCGCGUGGGUGAAGAAGGCCUUCGGGUUGUAAAGCCCUUUUGUUGGGAAAGAAAUCCUGUCGGUUAAUACCUGGCGGGGAUGACGGUACCCAAAGAAUAAGCACCGGCUAACUUCGUGCCAGCAGCCGCGGUAAUACGACGGGUGCAAGCGUUACUCGGAAUUACUGGGCGAAAAGCGUGCGUAGGUGGUGGGUUAAGUCCGGUGUGAAAGCCCUGGGCUCAACCUGGGAAUUGCAGUGGAUACUGGAUCACUAGAGUGUGGUAGAGGGAUGCGGAAUUUCUGGUGUAGCAGUGAAAUGCGUAGAGAGCAGAAGGAACAUCCGUGGCGAAGGCGGCAUCCUGGGCCAACACUGACACUGAGGCACGAAAGCGUGUGGAGCAAACAGGAUUAGAAACCCGAGUAGUCC
rnacentral:rRNA from 1 species